UUUUUUUAUUUUGCUUUUGGUUGGUACUUUUGGCAUAAAUUAUAAUAUCAGUGCCAAAAGUACCAUCCAAACCCUCGCACCCAACCCGACCCGGUCCGUCCAAAUUAAGAGCAAUAUAGUUCGAAAUUGCAAAAAAUUGUCAAAUUUUAUUUUUUUAAAGAUGAAUAACUAAAUAUUGAGUUCCAUUGUUUAAUAUAUGGUCAUCUCAAAAGUUGGCUCAUAUAUUAAUGUCUUAUGUGUGCAUUUUACCCAGAACUAAGGAGAUUAAGCACCAGAUCAUUGACAUACACAUAUAAAUUAAACUAGCUAACUAGAAAACCCAAUUUCAAACUUCGAAUACAUAGACUGUAUGUAUACACUCCAAGGGUGCCAAUUGUUUGGAACUCAUGAUGCAACAAGGGCUUGAUAUAUAAACCUAAACAAGGAAGGCGAAAGCAUAAACAAAUUAAGGAAUGAUCCAGAUAUACUAAAUUACACAGAGAUAGCCUUAAUUUUAUAAAAUAUUCAACUACCAUAAAAUUUAAGUUUCAACACCCUUAAAUACUAAUAAUACGUAAAACCCUAACUUGAGAAUCCUGAAAUAAUUAACUAAGCACUUGUUAAUUAAUAGCAUAAAAUAAUAAAAGAUCCUAAUCGAUAUAAACUAAAAAUAAUUUUAAAAAAUAUGAAAAUGGAAACAACUUAACUACAAGGAUAUCAUAUGCAAGUGUAUCUCCAUUCACACUAUCAUAGUUUCUGAGAUUUAUGAUCAGUAGAAAGUGCAGGCCUUCUGCCGCCAAGAAAUGAGUUUAUAGAUUCUAAGGGAAUAUUAUUGUUGAGAAACUUUAAUUUAUUCAGCACAUGGUAACCAAACAAAAAUCAAACAUAAUGAUUCAUAGAGGAGACAACAAUUAAUCUUUAAUUAUUAAUUAAAUUGUGCGAUGAAAUCAAUUAACUAAAGGUCCUCCACAAUUGCUAAACAUGCAGAUCGAAAUAUAUAAUAUUUGAUCAAACUUGAUUAUUGAAGAGCGAUAGAAUAUGAAAUGCUAUAAAUAUACUUAAUUAAUGUGAUCUCCUUUGGAAUGAUAGAUAUAAAUUCGAUAUACCAAACAGAAAGAAUAAGAAGUGAAAAGUGACGUCUAAGGUUCAAACCUCAUCGCUCCCUCUCCCACUCCACCAAUAAAAAGUGAACAAUUUAUUUGAAAAACUAUAGACUUAAUUGCUUUUAUAGCGUCUCUGCUUUACUACCCAAGUUCAGUGAAAAAAGAAGAAAAAAGGAAGACAGAGAGGGGGAGAGAGAGACCUUAAUUGGAUCCCAUAAGUAAGGAGUCUUGUUGCGUAGCCUCCCAUAAGUAAGGAGUCUUGGAAGAAAACGAUUCCUGAUUGAAGGAAUAGUGCUGAAUCCCUCUUAAUAAACAUUUCAAAAUAUUUGCAAGUAUACAAAAUGCACCUUUGAUUGAGUAGUGCAAAACAACAAUUGCUAAAAUCACAGAGUAGUGUUUUUGCUGCCUUUCACUAAGAGUGCGUUCUCUUUGAGGGAAAAUGAUGGAAAACAUAUAUUUUCAUCCUUUUUCCAUCAUUUUCACAUUUUCACUCCAAUUUAUGAUAAUAUUAUAUCAUCGGGAUUGAUUGAUGUAAUAAUAUUUUCCUCGGGGUAUUGAUGUGAUAAACUAUGUUUUCCACCUUAAAGAACAUGAGAUAAAAAAGAAAUGGGAAAAAUCUGUAUUCCUUAUUUUCUAAUAAUAAAAUUUACAACCAAAGAGAACACGUCCUAAAAAUUUACUCUAAGUUUCUCAGAAAGUAACACACACAGACCUAAUUAGUAAAUAACAAAGGCUUAAACCUUACAACCUGGGCCAGUUCGAAGCCGUGCUCUCAUAGCUCGGUUUAAGUCCGACCGACAUCGAAGGGGAAUGUAAAAACAAAACAAAAAACUUUGUACCUGGCAUUAAAAUUUAGUAAUCAGAAUCUCUACGAUAAUAUGAAGGUCGGAAUUAUACCUGGAAAUAGAGCAACAUAAACAUCAUCUCAUACCUGUACAUAGGUGGCAAAAAUAAACUAAAAUAGGGUAAUUUUGAGUUGUUGAAAGGCAAUUUAUGUUUUGUGUUUGUAAUUUAGGGGGAAGUAGUUGAUAGAGGAUUUGUGAGUGUGAUGACAGAAGUAUAGAGAGUACAAAGGAGUGAGAUGCAAAGUUUGCAACUUCAUCGUUGGUGCUCUCUAUCUUCUGUCAACAACAGCAAAACCCCCUACCUACCACCAAACAUAACUUAAUGUUUCUCAACUUAUUUCAAGAAUUUCAGACUAAGAAAUGCAAUAUCUUGAUUCAAAAUCUGGGAUAUAUAUAUAUAAUGGAAAUGAGAAGAAGUGAGAGAAAAGGGUGAAGAAAAAACGAGGUGAUGACAGAAGAAUAGAGAGCACAAAGAUUGAUAUACAAAACUCUUGUAUGUUCAUCAUCUGUGCUCUCUAUCUUCUGUCAACUCAUCACCAAUAUCGCUUCACCCCUCUCUUCACACGCAUACAAUGUUUAUAACACUGCAAAAACAAAUUAAUUAAACAGUUUCUACUUACACAAAACAAGGAAAGAGAGAGAUCUAGAGAGAGGUAGUUUUGAGAGUAGGAUUGUAUGAUCCAAGGCCUUCUCCAGUACCUCUAUUUAUAGUGAACGAGAUCUAGUGUUGCCUUUUAUUAGCAUUUCUAUACUCGUUAAACAUGAUUACCAAUAUGAUGAGGCGAAUUUGGUGAUUAAGAUUGGAAAAGGGGGGGAUUUGAACAAGAGUUACGUUAGUGGGCUAGCUUGACGAAUAUUGUAAAAUUGAAUCUGUAUUGAAUUUGAAAUUCUCAGCGGUAGAUUUGAGAAUAAGAACCUUCAUUUUCUUUGCAGCUGGAAGGUUGUGAUUGAUCGACCACAAUUCACGUACUACAUAUUCCACCACACCGAUCUAAUUAUCAUUACUCCAAUUUUACUCAUUCUUCAUUUAUAU
rnacentral:lncRNA from 1 species